UAGAGUUUGAUCCUGGCUCAGGAUGAACGCUAGCUACAGGCUUAACACAUGCAAGUCGAGGGGAAACGACAUCGAAAGCUUGCUUUUGAUGGGCGUCGACCGGCGCACGGGUGAGUAACGCGUAUCCAACCUGCCCAUCACUUGGGGAUAACCUUGCGAAAGUAAGACUAAUACCCAAUGAUAUCUCUAGAAGACAUCUGAAAGGGAUUAAAGAUUUAUCGGUGAUGGAUGGGGAUGCGUCUGAUUAGCUUGUUGGCGGGGUAACGGCCCACCAAGGCGACGAUCAGUAGGGGUUCUGAGAGGAAGGUCCCCCACAUUGGAACUGAGACACGGUCCAAACUCCUACGGGAGGCAACAGUGAGGAAUAUUGGUCAAUGGGCGAGAGCCUGAACCAGCCAAGUAGCGUGCAGGAUGACGGCCCUAUGGGUUGUAAACUGCUUUUAUAAGGGAAUAAAGUGAGCCUCGUGAGGCUUUUUGCAUGUACCUUAUGAAUAAGGACCGGCUAAUUCCGUGCCAGCAGCCGCGGUAAUACGGAAGGUCCGGGCGUUAUCCGGAUUUAUUGGGUUUAAAGGGAGCGUAGGCCGGAGAUUAAGCGUGUUGUGAAAUGUAGACGCUCAACGUCUGCACUGCAGCGCGAACUGGUUUCCUUGAGUAUGCACAAAGUGGGCGGAAUUCGUGGUGUAGCGGUGAAAUGCUUAGAUAUCACGAAGAACUCCGAUUGCGAAGGCAGCUCACUGGAGCGCAACUGACGCUGAAGCUCGAAAGUGCGGGUAUCGAACAGGAUUAGAUACCCUGGUAGUCCGCACGGUAAACGAUGGAUGCCCGCUGUUGGUCUGAAUAGGUCAGCGGCCAAGCGAAAGCAUUAAGCAUCCCACCUGGGGAGUACGCCGGCAACGGUGAAACUCAAAGGAAUUGACGG
rnacentral:rRNA from 1 species